CAAUAGCGUAUAUUAGAAGUUCCUGCGGUUAAUAAGCUCGUAGUUGUAUUUCUACCAAGGACGAUUGGUUCGCCCUGCGGGUGAAUAUCUGGGACGACCUGGGCAUCUUCUUGGCGAACGUGUCUGCACUUGACUGUGGUGCGGUACCCAGGACUUUUACUUUGAGGAAGCUCAAGUGUUUCAAGCAGGCCCACGCCUUGAACACUUUAGCACGGUAGAAUAAGAUAUUACCUCGGUUCUAUGUUCUUGGUUUCUAAAGCUGAGGUAAUGGUUGAUACGGAAAAUUGGGGCAUUCGUAUUUAAUUGUAAGAACUGAAAAUCUUGGAUUUUAUUAAAGAACGGACCUAAUGCGAAAGCAGGCCAACUGUGUUGUCACCAAUCAAGAACCAACCAUCUGGGGAGUCAAAGACGAUCAGAUACCGU
rnacentral:rRNA from 1 species